GCAAACUAACCGGAAAUUUCGAAUGACCAUUUAUACUGACGUCAUAUUUUUUUCAUAUAAACGAGAAAUCAGGUGAUAAUGUAGGCGUAGGAUGAGUGAAUGCAUCUGUAGACGAAAAGUAAUUUAUUUUGGAGCAUUUUUCCUCCGAAUUAAUUUUUUAUGUACGUAUGAUAGUAUGUGUCCGCAAUCAUAACCUAGAAGAGAGAACACGACGUUUACUCAUUGGAUCUGGUUAACUGAUUAAAAAUACCGGGAUGUGUAGCGGAUUACUGCACAAAUUCUGCAGCGAAGGGUUUUAAGAUGAAUUAUUUUCCGACUGAUCCUGAGAGAAGAGCUAUUUGGAUUGAAAACAUGAAUCGUGAGGAUUUUGUCCCAACUCGUCACUCUACACUGUGUUCAUUUCGAGCCUACAAUGUGGGAAAAACCUCGAGUAGAUGGUAAAAGCUAAGUAAACAUGAUGCAGUUCCUACAUUAUUUGGGAAACAUAUAAGACGUCAGAAUCCAAUAUGCGACAUGGCUUCUGAAAUUCUCAUACUGAUUCGCUUGGUAUUUUAAUACUUCCUGGUCUUAAUGUACCUGAAAUUGACGCACAGAAUUGAACUACAGCAAAUUGUCGCACUGGAGCUUUAUUUUUUGUUCCAGUUUUUAAACAUUCAUGUACACAUCUCCAUUGGCGAUGCCAAAAGCGAUUUUUCGCCCUUUACUGAGGGUUUUGAUAACUAGCCUAUGGCGGAGCCUACCAGGUGGUUGGGCGCCGGAAUGUAUGGUUAUACGAAAUUAAGAUCUUUGCCUCCCAUUACCCUAUCAUUAUUGGACUUUUGUAAAUAUGAAUAUUAAUCCAAAGUUCAAUUUGACAUUUUGUGAUAUUGGAGACUUACUAGGAGAUACUAGGAGACUAAUUCAAGCAGGAGAGGAGGUAUUAUUAGCUGAACACAUCCUCAUCUGUGGUGUCAAAAGUUAUAAACAGAAUUACGUAGGAAUUGUGUCAGCUUGUCGUCAAUCGUCACAUUGGGAUAAUUACCACAAAAUAACUAUAAAAAUUCUGUUUGAGGAAAAUAGGAGGAGAAUAAUUAGCAAAUGUACUUGUCCAGCUGACUUGGGUGAAAAAUGUAAACACAUUUUUGCGAAACUUCUAUAUAUUUAUCGGGUUCGAGUUGAUAGAUUGGAGAUGUUGAGCUGUACAGACUUGAAACAGCAAUGGGGCAAGGUGAAAUCAAAUGCUGAUUUACCCCAGAAUGAGGUAGUGAAUUUGGAGGAAUUUUGUUGCAUGAAGGUGGAGAAGGUAGAAAAAGAGAAUGACCCAAACUCCCAGAUUUUUUUUUGUUAAUACAUUGAUGACAGGUACGAUUGUAUCUCUCUCCAUUCUCGUCAAUAGCUGAAAUAUUCCAUUUUCUUGGUAUCCCAUUAUAUUUUUAUAAUUUGAUAUUCACUGUGAAUUUAUUUGAUAGCUCAUCCACAAACUGAGGCGAGAACCUUCUACCCGAGACGUCGAGGAACAAAACGCUCUUUUGACGCUGCUCUGAAUAGAAGAGCUGCUUCACUUGAAUCAGUUUGAGCUUUCUUGCAGGAACGUGUCCAUAUCCCCCUACCAUUCGAUGCUUCUCCUUCUCCUGCUUUGAAUGACGAUCUUUUUAGUUUUUACACAGAGCAUGUUGAAGUAACAGAAGCUCAGGCGGUUGAAAUUUGCAUGGCAACAAUGGGACAAGAAAAUGAUUUAUGGAGACGACACAGACAAACAAGAAUCACCGGGAGCACAUGUUAUGACUUUCGGACUUACGGGGAAAAGGGAAAUAUUGAUUGGCCAAAGAAAAUUAAUAAUCUUUUAUUUUCGUCAUUUAAGGGGACUCCAGCUAUGCGUCACGAUACCCUAACUGAACCAAAAUGUCGUGAGGAAUAUCUUGGCGAUCAUUCAAAUUUUCUCCCAUCCUCUUCUUCAAUUCUGUAACACAGAUGAUGACAGACGUCAACAAGGCAAACGAAUGUAGACCAGUGAAUGCCUUUAGUUGCUCCUCAUUCCCAAUAACUUCAUCAACCACUGAACGAUCAGUUUGUAUCUCCUUGUCAACUCGUGUUUGUGGAAUAACCGUUUGGACCGCAGCAUCCAACUUAUCGAAUUGUACUUGUACCGCUAUAUCACGACGUGGAUUACAGACUUGAACCUCUGCAUCAAAUUUAACGGGCUGAAUAUCCACUUGAACACCUGCAUUACAUCGAGUGGAAGCAUAUCCGCCGACAACACUGGCUUCUUGUGUCAACGGUGGCACACUUUCUGGGUUAUCAUCUGUAUGUAUUUCUGUAAACCAAAUUGCAAUUGGAAACUAACGGCGAGGGUCAAGAAGAUUCCAUUAUUGAAAAUGGUAGUCGGACAGUUUUUCCCCGGACAAAAUCUCCCGGACAAAAUUUCCCGGACAAAAUCUCCCUGAACAAAAUCUCCCCGGACAAUUGCUUUUUGCGAAAUUUCCCCGAAAAAUUCCUUUCAACGAGUCUUCUGAAGGGUAAAUUUUCCGCAAAUAGCAAUCCGUAUGAAUUUAAUUCUUUUGUAAUUUCAUUGAGGCUAAAGACUCGAUAAUUUCAUGUGUUCUAUUGUGCGAUUCAGUAAUAAAAACCCCUUUAAUUGAG